AAGUCGUAACAAGGUCUCCGUAGGUGAACCUGCGGAGGGAUCAUUACCGAGUGCGGGCCCUCGGGCCCAACCUCCAACCCUUUGUCGAUUAUAACCGUUGCCUCGGGGGGCGACCCGGACAUCAAACCUCCGGGAGUCCCCCAGAGGUCCAAUCAAACACAUUGCGUCUUUGCGUCGGAGUAUUGAAACUAAAUCAAUCAAAA
rnacentral:misc_RNA from 1 species